CCUACGGGAGGCAGCAGUGAGGAAUAUUGGUCAAUGGACGAGAGUCUGAACCAGCCAAGUAGCGUGAAGGAUGACUGCUCUAUGGGUUGUAAACUUCUUUUAUAUGGGAAUAAAACGUUCCACGUGUGGGUAUUUGUAUGUACCAUAUGAAUAAGCAUCGGCUAACUCCGUGCCAGCAGCCGCGGUAAUACGGAGGAUCCGAGCGUUAUCCGGAUUUAUUGGGUUUAAAGGGUGCGUAGGUGGAUUGUUAAGUCAGUUGUGAAAGUUUGUGGCUCAACCGUAAAAUUGCAGUUGAAACUGGCAGUCUUGAGUACAGUAGAGGUAGGCGGAAUGCGUGGUGUAGCGGUGAAAUGCUUAGAUAUCACGAAGAACUCCGAUUGCGAAGGCAGUUCACUGGACUACAACUGACACUGAGGCACGAAAGUGUGGGUAUCAAACAGGAUUAGAUACCCCGGUAGUC
rnacentral:rRNA from 1 species